rnacentral:rRNA from 1 species
GGGUUGUGAGGUUAAGCGACUAAGCGUACACGGUGGAUGCCCUGGCAGUCAGAGGCGAUGAAGGACGUGCUAAUCUGCGAUAAGCGUCGGUAAGGUGAUAUGAACCGUUAUAACCGGCGAUUUCCGAAUGGGGAAACCCAGUGUGUUUCGACACACUAUCAUUAACUGAAUCCAUAGGUUAAUGAGGCGAACCGGGGGAACUGAAACAUCUAAGUACCCCGAGGAAAAGAAAUCAACCGAGAUUCCCCCAGUAGCGGCGAGCGAACGGGGAGCAGCCCAGAGCCUGAAUCAGUGUGUGUGUUAGUGGAAGCGUCUGGAAAGGCGCGCGAUACAGGGUGACAGCCCCGUACACAAAAAUGCACAUGCUGUGAGCUCGAUGAGUAGGGCGGGACACGUGGUAUCCUGUCUGAAUAUGGGGGGACCAUCCUCCAAGGCUAAAUACUCCUGACUGACCGAUAGUGAACCAGUACCGUGAGGGAAAGGCGAAAAGAACCCCGGCGAGGGGAGUGAAAAAGAACCUGAAACCGUGUACGUACAAGCAGUGGGAGCACGCUUAGGCGUGUGACUGCGUACCUUUUGUAUAAUGGGUCAGCGACUUAUAUUCUGUAGCAAGGUUAACCGAAUAGGGGAGCCGAAGGGAAACCGAGUCUUAACUGGGCGUUAAGUUGCAGGGUAUAGACCCGAAACCCGGUGAUCUAGCCAUGGGCAGGUUGAAGGUUGGGUAACACUAACUGGAGGACCGAACCGACUAAUGUUGAAAAAUUAGCGGAUGACUUGUGGCUGGGGGUGAAAGGCCAAUCAAACCGGGAGAUAGCUGGUUCUCCCCGAAAGCUAUUUAGGUAGCGCCUCGUGAAUUCAUCUCCGGGGGUAGAGCACUGUUUCGGCAAGGGGGUCAUCCCGACUUACCAACCCGAUGCAAACUGCGAAUACCGGAGAAUGUUAUCACGGGAGACACACGGCGGGUGCUAACGUCCGUCGUGAAGAGGGAAACAACCCAGACCGCCAGCUAAGGUCCCAAAGUCAUGGUUAAGUGGGAAACGAUGUGGGAAGGCCCAGACAGCCAGGAUGUUGGCUUAGAAGCAGCCAUCAUUUAAAGAAAGCGUAAUAGCUCACUGGUCGAGUCGGCCUGCGCGGAAGAUGUAACGGGGCUAAACCAUGCACCGAAGCUGCGGCAGCGACACUAUGUGUUGUUGGGUAGGGGAGCGUUCUGUAAGCCUGUGAAGGUGUGCUGUGAGGCAUGCUGGAGGUAUCAGAAGUGCGAAUGCUGACAUAAGUAACGAUAAAGCGGGUGAAAAGCCCGCUCGCCGGAAGACCAAGGGUUCCUGUCCAACGUUAAUCGGGGCAGGGUGAGUCGACCCCUAAGGCGAGGCCGAAAGGCGUAGUCGAUGGGAAACAGGUUAAUAUUCCUGUACUUGGUGUUACUGCGAAGGGGGGACGGAGAAGGCUAUGUUGGCCGGGCGACGGUUGUCCCGGUUUAAGCGUGUAGGCUGGUUUUCCAGGCAAAUCCGGAAAAUCAAGGCUGAGGCGUGAUGACGAGGCACUACGGUGCUGAAGCAACAAAUGCCCUGCUUCCAGGAAAAGCCUCUAAGCAUCAGGUAACAUCAAAUCGUACCCCAAACCGACACAGGUGGUCAGGUAGAGAAUACCAAGGCGCUUGAGAGAACUCGGGUGAAGGAACUAGGCAAAAUGGUGCCGUAACUUCGGGAGAAGGCACGCUGAUAUGUAGGUGAAGUCCCUCGCGGAUGGAGCUGAAAUCAGUCGAAGAUACCAGCUGGCUGCAACUGUUUAUUAAAAACACAGCACUGUGCAAACACGAAAGUGGACGUAUACGGUGUGACGCCUGCCCGGUGCCGGAAGGUUAAUUGAUGGGGUCAGCGCAAGCGAAGCUCUUGAUCGAAGCCCCGGUAAACGGCGGCCGUAACUAUAACGGUCCUAAGGUAGCGAAAUUCCUUGUCGGGUAAGUUCCGACCUGCACGAAUGGCGUAAUGAUGGCCAGGCUGUCUCCACCCGAGACUCAGUGAAAUUGAACUCGCUGUGAAGAUGCAGUGUACCCGCGGCAAGACGGAAAGACCCCGUGAACCUUUACUAUAGCUUGACACUGAACAUUGAGCCUUGAUGUGUAGGAUAGGUGGGAGGCUUUGAAGUGUGGACGCCAGUCUGCAUGGAGCCGACCUUGAAAUACCACCCUUUAAUGUUUGAUGUUCUAACGUUGACCCGUAAUCCGGGUUGCGGACAGUGUCUGGUGGGUAGUUUGACUGGGGCGGUCUCCUCCUAAAGAGUAACGGAGGAGCACGAAGGUUGGCUAAUCCUGGUCGGACAUCAGGAGGUUAGUGCAAUGGCAUAAGCCAGCUUGACUGCGAGCGUGACGGCGCGAGCAGGUGCGAAAGCAGGUCAUAGUGAUCCGGUGGUUCUGAAUGGAAGGGCCAUCGCUCAACGGAUAAAAGGUACUCCGGGGAUAACAGGCUGAUACCGCCCAAGAGUUCAUAUCGACGGCGGUGUUUGGCACCUCGAUGUCGGCUCAUCACAUCCUGGGGCUGAAGUAGGUCCCAAGGGUAUGGCUGUUCGCCAUUUAAAGUGGUACGCGAGCUGGGUUUAGAACGUCGUGAGACAGUUCGGUCCCUAUCUGCCGUGGGCGCUGGAGAACUGAGGGGGGCUGCUCCUAGUACGAGAGGACCGGAGUGGACGCAUCACUGGUGUUCGGGUUGUCAUGCCAAUGGCACUGCCCGGUAGCUAAAUGCGGAAGAGAUAAGUGCUGAAAGCAUCUAAGCACGAAACUUGCCCCGAGAUGAGUUCUCCCUGACUCCUUGAGAGUCCUGAAGGAACGUUGAAGACGACGACGUUGAUAGGCCGGGUGUGUAAGCGCAGCGAUGCGUUGAGCUAACCGGUACUAAUGAACCGUGAGGCUUAACCUUACAACGCCGAAGGUGUUU